CUCAGGGUUCAGUAUUAGGGCCAGACCUAUUUAACGUCUUCAUCAAUUGUCUGCACAAGAGGAUCAAGCGCACCACCAGUCAAUUUGCAGGAUGGUUAAUCUCAGCUGCUGAAGUUCAUCAGCCUCUGCUAGUGUUUACCCAUCAUCUGGACUUGCCACUUCCGAACUUUCCAGACUAGAAGUGAAUAAGCCCGCUGUCACACUCACCCUGCCAACAUAGCCUGAAGCCUGGAAGCCUAAAUGUCUGAAUCCCAGAAAGGCAGCACAAAAGCUAAUACAGCUGGGGGCAGGAGAGAUUGGUGGUAUAUGAAAGUCACAGCUGGUUCAAACACUCAUCUCCUGAAGAACAUUUAUGCUGAAAGGAAACUACACAUUAGAAUUUGAUACUCCUGUCUUUUGAAGAAGUCUAGCUUGAACAAGUAUGGAAAUGGACUUUAAAAUUUUUUUAGAUCAUCCAAAUCAGCCCCCUGAGAACAACAACAACAAAGAAUGUCAUAUUUGGAGAAACUAUCUCUACAAAACAUUUUUUUUCUGAAAAUAUAUUAAUAUAUCAUUC